CAGUCGCCGCGGUAAUGUGAAGGGGGCUAGCGUUGCUCGGAAUCACUGAGCGUAAAGGGCGCGUAGGCGGAUUUGUAAGUCAGGGGUGAAAUCCCGAGGCUCAACCUCGGAACUGCCUUUGAUACUGUGGAUCUUGAGUCCGGGAGAGGUGAGUGGAACUGCGAGUGUAGAGGUGAAAUUCGUAGAUAUUCGCAAGAACACCAGUGGCGAAGGCGGCUCACUGGCCCGGAACUGACGCUGAGGCGCGAAAGCGUGGGGAGCAAACAGGAUUAGAUACCCGCGUAGUCCCUGUCUCUUAUAC
rnacentral:rRNA from 1 species